rnacentral:rRNA from 1 species
UACGUAGGGUGCGAGCGUUAAUCGGAAUUACUGGGCGUAAAGCGUGCGCAGGCGGCUUUGCAGGACAGAUGUGAAAUCCCCGGGCUCAACCUGGGAACUGCAUUUGUGACUGCAAGGCUAGAGUACGGCAGAGGGGGAUGGAAUUCCGCGUGUAGCAGUGAAAUGCGUAGAUAUGCGGAGGAACACCAAUGGCGAAGGCAAUCCCCUGGGCCUGUACUGACGCUCAUGCACGAAAGCGUGGGGAGCAAACAGG